UUAAGCGAGGUUUAAAAGUGGGGAUGUAGCACAGAUUCUCGAUUUGGGACAUUCGCUGUCAGUGCCCCGAAGCGAGAAGAUAGAAGGAGACCUCGGGUGUAAACUUGAGUCUGAUCCCAGUAGGAGCAUGAAUAACAAUAAUAAAGUUUCCCGGCUUUUGUUUUCAAACUAACACGUUACAUCGAGGGUGCACCGUUGGUAGUUUUUCUCAGCAAUUAUGUAACUAACCGCUGCUUUUGGUGCUGCGCUGCACAGAUUAAUGCACACCUGAAAUUCUCUGAGCCCGUCCGGAUUUGUGGCCCGGGUUAAGGAGGGAGAAAGCAGAGUGCUGCGGGAACCGCGGGCGGGGGACGCUCGGGGCCGACACCAACAGGGCGCUGAGACGGCAUGGAGCGGGGAGAAGGCGUCUUCCACACUUCGUUUGAAGGGAUAGAGCGUCUGGGCUGAUCGCUGGGACGAUCAUGUCACUCCCGAGAGAAAAGAGCUGCUUUAGGGAGAGAAAAAGUGAUUCUUCGUGGAGUUCAGUGUAUUUCUGCAAUGCCGCAUCUCAAAGAAAAGGCCUCGUAACAGAUUCUUACAUUGUGUCAAACUGUAACAAACUGAAUCGCGAAAAGCAAUUACAAAGCAAAUAUUGUGAUCGGUGCGGUGGGUAACAUCGGAGCCGGAUUUAGAGAGGAAUAUUAACUCUGAUUUUUUUUUUCUUAACCAAUAGUGUAUAAAUUUGUGCUCAGUCUGAAGCCCUUUUCCUGUAGAUGGCGUUCUCUGGGUACGAGCGAUCGACGGCAAUGCAGCCGCGCUCGGAAGACUUCAUUAAUCCGCAGAUAACAAAAUAAUUAAUAAUCUUUCUUUAGUUAUAUGUAUAUUGAAAGUGGAAAAAAAAAUCUACAUUGAUUUAUCGUAAGCAAAAGCGUGUUUCUGCCUCACGUGAACGAAAAUAAAAACUGUUUGAAUAAAUAAGUUGUUUCUGAGCAUUUUGUUGUCAAAGUGUUAAAUGUCCCCGUCAUUUUUAUUCCAACACUAACGUGAUUACAGCCAAUUAUAUAUUCACCAGUGUUCUUUAUUUUAGAGUAAUUGUACUUGUCACUAAUAAAACAGAGACAUAAUGGAUCGCUACUAUUCUGAAUUUUAAAGCAAUUGUCUGUAAUUUGAUUGAAUUAUAUGUCGUCUUCUCUACUUUUUUAUUUCUGUAUUUUGAAAUCCUAUUUUCCUGAAAAUUACAGCUCUGUUCCUGUUUUGUUGUUCCUGAAGUAACGAAACCUCCUGUAACAUUUAUAAAUAGAGCCCCGUCCCUUUGGAAACGUGGAAAAUCAUAAUUUCGGCCCCAACGCGCUAAAGGCUUUGCACGUAAAUCCGGGUGUCCGGGGAAGCGCGGGGCUCAGCGCUGGGCGCGGCGGGACGCCCUCCGCGGGGAAGAGAAGCCCCAGCAGAGGGAACAACACCGCACCGCGCACGACGGGGUUCGCUCUUUUUAUCGUAGUGGUUCGUCGCGCUCCAUCUGGCUCAGGCACCAAAGCACGUCAAGACGAGUUCAGUUCCUAAUGUUUACAUGGGAAAACAGGUAAGGACACAGAUAAAAAAUGAAUUUGACUCCAAUUGCAUUCCUCCAGGCAAUUGGACUGAUUAUCCAUAUCCUGUUUGUAUAUUUCUUUAGGUGAUGGUCAUAGGUAAAGAGUCUGAGAGUUCCUUGAGUAUCCCUAGUCAGAGACAAUACAGAUAUCGAAUGACAUCGGCGCUGCACAAGCAGGAAAUAUUGCGCUGUGUUAUUACGGUGCUCUUUGGGUUGUUUUGUUGAGGAUGAGCUCUCAGAGGGCUGUUUUUUUGUUGCCGUUUCUCAAAGCCGAAAACAUGCCUUUAAUUUAGCAAUUGUACCAACCAUCAACGCAAUAAGAUAUGAUCUGCGUUGUCGCCAAACACAAAUCAAAAAAUGAUACAAAGGCUUUCACAAGUUAAUUUCAGAUGACAAAACACGUGCCCACCACAACAGAGAAAGUUAAACUAUCAUUUGCGAAUUGUGCGGUUGCGUGAAGAGGUAUCUGCUAGGUACGCUAAGCACAGGCAAACACGGUCUGUCUGCAGUUCUUUGCACUGAAGGCAAGGAGAAGAUGUGUCAUGGGAUGCAGGCGACUCUCGUAAGGGGCUCUUUCUGAAGCUCAGCGAGAAAUGAGCAGGACCCUCAGGGAGAAAAUGUUUUUUUGUAGAUUCGGUACUUAAUACAACUGCAAAACUAGUUUGUAGCCGCCUUGGGAGGAAAAACAAACCCAGCCUGUUCCUAAAUGGGUAUGGUCUGUCCAGUCCAACGUGGACGAGGGCUAUGAGCCUUUUAUCUACACUUUUGUUACUGACGUUUUGCAACGAGCUGGCAAAUAAAGUGCAAUGCCAUCCUCUCACUUGGGCAAAAUAUUUAUUUGUUGGAGUUUUCCAAGCUACGGCAUGAUUUCAUUGUUCAGGUGGAGUUUAUAGAUCAUUUCUAAUAAACAUUGUUUUCUGAAACUCCCUGGGGAAACAGAGCCUCAGUGCGUAUGUGUGUGCGUGUGUGUGUGUGUAUGUGUGUGUGUGUGUGUGUGUGCAAGCCUAUGGGGAGCCCCAUCUGAAAGAUGGAGAGGAGCAAACACACAAAGGAGAUGGUGCAUCCCGGAAGAAGUGCUUCUUUCAACAUUUUUUCUCUCCAUAAUGUCACCGCUCAGAAAUCGAUGUGCAGCCGCUUCUCGGUCAGAUUACCGCUGAGGCAAAACCACCACCCCAGGCUGUAGCCAGGCACGGUCCGCUCACGGUGGGAGGGACGCGGACGAGAUUUAACUUGUUGCCAGUCGGUUUUGUGUGUUUGUUUGUUUGUGCUGCUGGUUUAAAAGCGAAACAAACUCCAGAAAAAAAAAAAAAAAAAAAAAAAAAAAGCGGGGGGUGGAGGGUGGGCUGGGGAGAGAGGGAGGAGGAAAACAA